rnacentral:tRNA from 1 species
GGGAAGGUGGCUCAGUGGUAGAGCACUUGCCUUGCAUGCAUGAAGUCCUGGGUUCGAUUCCUCAGCCCCA